UCUCGGAUUGGCGGGCCGUUGGGGGGGAGGCGGGGCCGAGGGCGUAAAGGUCCGGACUUAGCGGGAGGCAGGUACCGGGAUCUGGCGCAGGUGUCGCGGAUUCUUCUGCGGCCGGGGCCCGAGCUGCAGGCUGAUCCAGCAUCUGGGGUGGCCAUCGGCCGCGUUGUCCCCAGGCAUAGGCGUGCUGCGGGGGGUCCACCUCCAGGCUCCCUCAGAUAGGCAGGUGUGCACCCUUCCGCACGGCCUGCCCCGCCCUGCGCUUUCACUGACCUCCCACCAGCCGAACCAGAAGUGUCCUCCAGGGUCCAGGGGGGCAGCACACGUAGCUUUGCGCACCCAGUGCCAGCACAGAGCCCCGCCCUCUGUGGUCGUCCUUCGCCUCUCGCGAGUCUGUGCGGCAAGGGACCAGGCACCUGGUUGCUACGCGAGUUGGGGCGCUGCUUCAACCCGUCUGCGAAUGCGAGCCUGCACGUGAAUUCUGGUCGAGAGGCGGAGCAGAAACCAGCUGCCUGCCUCCGUGCAAGAGUCAACCACGGAGUUUCCGUCAACAGCAAGCGUCCUUUGCAAUCCGAAGGAGGAAAUUAGCUCUCUGGAUGCUCCAAGUUCCCGCCCUCUCAGGACAGUCAGCGGGGUCCGCCAGAGGGCAGCGGAAGGACGGAGCUGCUCACUGAGUUAGCUCUCGCCAGCGCCGAAACGGUGCCGAGCUGAAUAAAAACAGAACUGAUGAGAGUU